rnacentral:rRNA from 1 species
ACGAACGCUGGCGGCGUGCCUAAUACAUGCAAGUCGAACGCUUCUUUUUCCACCGGAGCUUGCUCCACCGGAAAAAGAGGAGUGGCGAACGGGUGAGUAACACGUGGGUAACCUGCCCAUCAGAAGGGGAUAACACUUGGAAACAGGUGCUAAUACCGUAUAACAAUCGAAACCGCAUGGUUUUGAUUUGAAAGGCGCUUUCGGGUGUCGCUGAUGGAUGGACCCGCGGUGCAUUAGCUAGUUGGUGAGGUAACGGCUCACCAAGGCGACGAUGCAUAGCCGACCUGAGAGGGUGAUCGGCCACAUUGGGACUGAGACACGGCCCAAACUCCUACGGGAGGCAGCAGUAGGGAAUCUUCGGCAAUGGACGAAAGUCUGACCGAGCAACGCCGCGUGAGUGAAGAAGGUUUUCGGAUCGUAAAACUCUGUUGUUAGAGAAGAACAAGGAUGAGAGUAACUGUUCAUCCCUUGACGGUAUCUAACCAGAAAGCCACGGCUAACUACGUGCCAGCAGCCGCGGUAAUACGUAGGUGGCAAGCGUUGUCCGGAUUUAUUGGGCGUAAAGCGAGCGCAGGCGGUUUCUUAAGUCUGAUGUGAAAGCCCCCGGCUCAACCGGGGAGGGUCAUUGGAAACUGGGAGACUUGAGUGCAGAAGAGGAGAGUGGAAUUCCAUGUGUAGCGGUGAAAUGCGUAGAUAUAUGGAGGAACACCAGUGGCGAAGGCGGCUCUCUGGUCUGUAACUGACGCUGAGGCUCGAAAGCGUGGGGAGCAAACAGGAUUAGAUACCCUGGUAGUCCACGACGUAAACGAUGAGUGCUAAGUGUUGGAGGGUUUCCGCCCUUCAGUGCUGCAGCUAACGCAUUAAGCACUCCGCCUGGGGAGUACGACCGCAAGGUUGAAACUCAAAGGAAUUGACGGGGGCCCGCACAAGCGGUGGAGCAUGUGGUUUAAUUCGAAGCAACGCGAAGAACCUUACCAGGUCUUGACAUCCUUUGACCACUCUAGAGAUAGAGCUUCCCCUUCGGGGGCAAAGUGACAGGUGGUGCAUGGUUGUCGUCAGCUCGUGUCGUGAGAUGUUGGGUUAAGUCCCGCAACGAGCGCAACCCUUAUUGUUAGUUGCCAUCAUUUAGUUGGGCACUCUAGCAAGACUGCCGGUGACAAACCGGAGGAAGGUGGGGAUGACGUCAAAUCAUCAUGCCCCUUAUGACCUGGGCUACACACGUGCUACAAUGGGAAGUACAACGAGUCGCAAAGUCGCGAGGCUAAGCUAAUCUCUUAAAGCUUCUCUCAGUUCGGAUUGUAGGCUGCAACUCGCCUACAUGAAGCCGGAAUCGCUAGUAAUCGCGGAUCAGCACGCCGCGGUGAAUACGUUCCCGGGCCUUGUACACACCGCCCGUCACACCACGAGAGUUUGUAACACCCGAAGUCGGUGAGGUAACCUUUUGGAGCCAGCCGCCUAAGGUGGGAUAGAUGAUUGGGGUG